AGAGUUUGAUCAUGGCUCAGAGCGAACGCUGGCGGCAGGCUUAACACAUGCAAGUCGAGCGGGCAUCUUCGGGUGUCAGCGGCAGACGGGUGAGUAACACGUGGGAACGUACCCUUUGGUUCGGAACAACUCCGGGAAACUGGAGCUAAUGCCGGAUACGCCCUUCGGGGGAAAGAUUUAUCGCCAAAGGAUCGGCCCGCGUCUGAUUAGCUGGUUGGUGGGGUAAUGGCCUACCAAGGCGACGAUCCGUAGCUGGUCUGAGAGGAUGAUCAGCCACACUGGGACUGAGACACGGCCCAGACUCCUACGGGAGGCAGCAGUGGGGAAUAUUGGACAAUGGGCGCAAGCCUGAUCCAGCCAUGCCGCGUGAGUGAAGAAGGCCUUAGGGUUGUAAAGCUCUUUCAGCGGGGAAGAUAAUGACGGUACCCGCAGAAGAAGCCCCGGCUAACUUCGUGCCAGCAGCCGCGGUAAUACGAAGGGGGCUAGCGUUGUUCGGAAUUACUGGGCGUAAAGCGCGCGUAGGCGGACAUUUAAGUCAGGGGUGAAAUCCCAGGGCUCAACCCUGGAAUUGCCUUUGAUACUGGAUGUCUGGAGUUCGGGAGAGGUGAGUGGAAUUGCGAGUGUAGAGGUGAAAUUCGUAGAUAUUCGCAGGAACACCAGAAGCGAAGGCGGCUCACUGGCCCGAGACUGACGCUGAGGCGCGAAAGCGUGGGGAGCAAACAGGAUUAGAUACCCUAGUAGUCC
rnacentral:rRNA from 1 species